AGGGUUGUGGCUCAGUGGUAAAGCGCAUGCAUAGCAUGCAUGAGGCACUGGGUUCAAUUCCUAGCACCACAA
rfam:Ictidomys tridecemlineatus contig017252, whole genome shotgun sequence.